ACUUUACAAUGCUGGCAACAGCGAUAAGGGAACCUCGAGUGCCAGGUUACAAAUCUGGCUGUCGAGAUGCCUAAAAAGCAUUUCAUAGCAAGGGCCGGGCAAGACCGGUGCCAGCCGCCGCGGUAACACCGGCGGCUCGAGUGGUAACCGUUAUUAUUGGGUCUAAAGGGUCUGUAGCCGGCCGGAUAAGUCUCUUGAGAAAUCUGGCAGCUUAACUGUCAGGCUUUCAGGAGAUACUGUCUGGCUCGAGGCCGGGAGAGGUGAGAGGUACUUCAGGGGUAGGGGUGAAAUCUUGUAAUCCUUGAAGGACCACCAGUGGCGAAGGCGUCUCACCAGAACGGACUUGACGGCAAGGGACGAAAGCUAGGGGCACGAACCGGAUUAGAUACCCGGGUAGUCCUAGCCGUAAACGAUACUCGCUAGGUGUCGGCCACGGUGCGACCGUUGUCGGUGCCGUAGGGAAGCCGUGAAGCGAGC
rnacentral:rRNA from 1 species